GUCCACGCCCUAAACGAUGUCAACUGGGUGUUGGGGAAGCGAUUCCUUGGUACCGUAGCUAACGCGUGAAGUUGACCGCCUGGGGAGUACGGCCGCAAGGUUAAAACUCAAAGGAAUUGACGGGGACCCGCACAAGCGGUGGAUGAUGUGGAUUAAUUCGAUGCAACGCGAACAACCUUACCUACCCUUGACAUGUCGCAGAGGCUGCUGAGAGGUGGCUGUGCCCGAAAGGGAAUGCGAACACAGGUGCUGCAUGGCUGUCGU
rnacentral:rRNA from 1 species